AAAUUUUGAAGCUAUAGGGUCUAAUAACCUUUUAGAAAAAGAAUUGAUCGAAUUAGUUAAUUAGUAUCGGUUCACUUGAUUCAUUAUGUACAUUUGCGAUUCAUCCCAUAGAUUUGAAUUAUUGUGAUGGGGAAUCGAAUUGAAUUGUAUGAAUCAAAUUGAGAAUUAUAAGAUUCUAACAAUAGUGAUAUAUAUACACAUGUAUAAAAUCAGUUCUUCAUUUUAGUACGAUUUUGGUUUGGUUAUUAGUGAAUAACCAAGUACUAAACCAAAAUAGUAAAAUAAUAAGAUUCAGUACAGUUCUUCUAUUUGGGACCCUUGAGAAUCGUGCACUACUUUUAACAAUCAAAUGUACUUGUCAAGUAUCAUAUUUGGGAAUUUGUUAAAGUCUGGUCUUAAGUUAUACAUUGCACUCAUAUGAGUUUUAGUUGCAAUAUUUGAUAAGAUACUUAAGCUGAAAUAGUUUAAUUAAAGUAAAUGAAACAAUUGUUGGUUUACUAAGUGGUAAACAGUUAAAAGGAACGUGGAAUUUUUGACCUGUCGACUUAAAUCUUUGGAAGUAACUUAGUAAGGAGUCUGUGGGGUUAGUAAGGUAAACUUCAACGGUGGAUGUGAGAUGAUUUCUAAAGCAAUAUUCAAUUACUUGUCUACAUUAAAUUUAUAUUGAAAUGAUAAGGAUGAUACUUUAUAUUCUAGUAAAUUUCCCAUAAACUUGAAUGAAUUGAGCCAAAAAAAAAAAAAUAGUGCACAUCUUAGGUAAACAUAUAUAAAUCAAGAAAUUCUAGUAAAUUCGAACACUGAAAUAAUUUUGUACUAAACAAUCAGCAUGCCACUUCUUGGAGUAAAUACUGAUAUAUGACAAGUAAAGCAACUGGCCUACUGGUACUAAUAUAAUAGACAAAUAUCAAGCAAUUGAUGAGUUUUAGAGUUCAAUUUAAAGGAGGGAGCGAGGUUAGGUUUAAGAGUUUGAAGUAGAGCUGAUUUGAGUGGGAAAAAGAAGAAAUAGGCCGCUGUAUUUGAAGUUGUGAACAGUAUCUGUGGUUUUGUAGUAUUGGAGAGAAAAUCAAAGAGAAAAGAGAAGAGGAAAAAAAGAAAAAAAAAUAAGCCCACAAGCCUUCCAAAUUUAGAUACUCAAAAUUCCUUUACUAAAAGCUAAGAAAAUAAUUAACUAGUUGUUCAACAAUGACUGCUACUUAGUAGGAAAAUACUAAUAACUAAAUCGGAAGCAAACAACCUUUUCAAUAAAUUAAAAAAAAAAUCCUAUUGAGAAUAAAUAUUCAUAAAUAGUACCAAAUCCAAAUUUCCUAAACAAGAUCCUAAACAGGAAGCCACAUAAUAGUCUUAAAUAGAAAAAAUUUACAAGAAAAUUAAAAUUUUCAAAAUAAGAAAAUUUCAUCUAAACUUGUUUUUCAUGAACUGCAUUAAACAGGUAUUGUGUGAACAAAAUAAAGCCCUAAUUAUCAAUAAACAAUUUGUGUUGUAUUUAUUAUUUAUAUAUUACAUAAAAACUUAAAAAUUCAAAAAUUUGUGGCUGAAAUUAAACUUAUAAGAAAGGCAAUCAUACCUCUUUACUUGGAGAGAACUUUAUCUCAAGAUUUACCAGUAAUACCAUAUGAUGUGAUGACAAAUUUACAAUCUCUUGCAAUCAUCAUCAAUGGUUUGAAAUCAAAAGGGACCUAAAUAUUACUUCUUAUUGAAACCAGCAUUCCAAAGUUUGAACUAUGUCCAGGUGCAGUGUCAUACCCAAAUUACUUCAAAAAUUAAGGAAAUUCACACAUUUAAAUGCCAUAUGUAUAGUUGGCCAUUUUGGCAUCACCUAUAUCUCAUGUUAGUGUAGUGAAGGAUUCUUGGUAUACUUUUUAGUAUGACAAAAACUGGAUUAUGAGAUUUGAGUUAAUUUUUUUUGCCACAUUCAUUAAUAGGGUAAACAUUUGGAUUAUGAAAAUUCAUGUUUCAUAUUCACCUCACAUGAAUAGUGCAAUCGAAGAUCCUCAGUGUAUUUAUUGUUCAAUGGAUUCAUAAUCAAUUUCAACUAGCAUCUUUGACUUAAUGGAUUAUAGCAUUGCAAUUUUAGAUCUUGAAUCUUGACAAGGCAAAAGUAAGGUUACAGGUGUGGGUGUCUAUUUAAAUUGUGUUAGUUAUUUUAGUAAAAUUGGGUUAUGGGAGUUCUCUAAUUAACAUGUGCAGCCUUACCUUAUCACAUUGUUAAGAGAUUGAUAUGGUGAAGCUUGGUGCUUGAGCUAUAAGAAUCCUUAUGCGACCUAGGAGUGGGAUAGGUAAUUUACCGAUUGAUUGUUCUUACUCUUUGUUGACCUGAAGAAGGGGAGCUUUUAAAAUAUGAUGCAUAUUGAACCUUGAUAUGGUGAAGAUUUGUUCAUUUAGGUCCUUAAACUAUGUAAGGUGUGAUACCUAAUUCACCUAUAGAUUGUCUUUAGUCUUUGUUGAACCCAAGGAUGGGAGUUUUUGAGAAAAAUGAGAGGAAAAAGUGGAUCUUAUAUCCAUGAGUGGAAAGUAUAAUGAAUACAAAAUCAUUUCCAAGCUGCUACCAACAUAAAUUGAACAAAUAGUAGUAAAAUGUCCUUUUACAUGAGCAUAAUGAGUAACAUUUGCAAUGUUCUUUAUCACGUGAAUUUCUUGUGUCUUUUGCAUAUGGUGUAUACUCUGGUAUUUUCUAGUGGCUUGUUUUCUGUCUUUUUUCAUCGUUGUUUAAAAAAAAUGGUAUCACUAGAGUAGAAUUACGAAAGAAGUGAAAUUUAGAAUGAGUUUGUAGACCAAUUUUUGCUUUCGUGCAUAAACUCCCCAAAGUGAAAUGCAACUUAUCCUUAAAACAGCCUCUCUUGCUUCUCAAAUAAGUUAUUUUGUAGUGGGAGUUUAUGCAUGCGAGGACAAAUCAUCUAUAUGUAUCAAGAGAUAUUUUUCAAGAAAAAAAUGAUAGACAUUUUUCAUUUGGAAGUGAUAAAUAAAUUGAAUUUUUAUCAUAACUGGAGUGAGAGUCAACCUAAAUCUUCCUUUUCCUCCUUGCAUGGCAAAUUAAGUGUAUUCUUAUUGAAUGUUCAGCACUAGCUUACAGUCGUAUGGGAGGCAAAGAAGUUACAAAAAUUUCUUUUAUAAAAUUUUGAAGUAAAAGACAUGAAUGACUUUAUUAAUAUUCAUCUUCUGUUUUGUUCAUGUUUUCUAUGCCACUUCACUUUUCUUUGUGUAUGCACCUUCACACUCAUAUUUUUAAUCCAAGAAGUUUGUACAACAUAAUUUGAUACUGUUUUAUGCUGAGGAAUUUUAUUGUUUCCAUGGAGUUCUAACAAGCAUUUUGUUUGUCUUAAAGUUUUGAAGAAGU
rnacentral:misc_RNA from 1 species